GCCUGAGAAACGGCUACCACAUCCAAGGAAGGCAGCAGGCACGCAAAUUACCCAAUCCCAGCUCUGGGAGGUAGUGACGAAAAAUAACAAUGCGGGACUCUUCCGAGUCUGCGUAAUUGGAAUGAGCACACUUUAAAUCCUUUAGCAACAACCAAUUGGAGGGCAAGUCUGGUGCCAGCAGCCGCGGUAAUUCCAGCUCCAAUAGCGUAUAUUAAAGUUGUUGCGGUUAAAAAGCUCGUAGUUCGAGUUCAGUUCCGGACUGACCGGGGAGGUCACCGCCCGGUGCUUCCCCGUCAGGCUCCGAACAGCUUUUGUGAGCAAAAGCCAAGCCGGUUUCGCCGGGGUGCUCUUCACCGAGUGUCCCGCGCGGCCGGCCAGUUUACCUUGAAUAAAUGAGAGUGCUCAAAGCAGGCUACUCUUAAAAAUAAAGCCCGAAUGUUACCUGCAUGGAAUGAUGGAAGAUGAUCUCGGUUCCAUUUUAUUGGCUCUGGGAAUCCGAGUUAAUGAUAAACAGGGACUGUCGGGGGCAUCCGUACUACGACGCGAGAGGUGAAAUUCAGUGACCGUCGUAGGACGAACAACAGCGAAAGCAUUUGCCAAGAAUGUCUUCGUUGAUCAAGAACGAAAGUUAGAGGAUCGAAGGCGAUCAGAUACCGCCCUAGUUCUAACCCUAAACGAUGCUGACUAGCAAUUCGCCGUCGUUAUUCCCAUGACGUGGCGAGACGCCCCCGGGAAACCUCAAGUCUCUGAGUUCCGGGGGUAGUAUGGUUGCAAAACUGAAACUUAAAGGAAUUGACGGAAGGGCACCACCAGGAGUGGAGCCUGCGGCUUAAUUUGACUCAACACGGGGAACCUCACCAGGCCCGGACACCAGAAGGAUUGACAGAUUAAGAGCUCUUUCUCGAUUUGGUGGGUGGUGGUGCAUGGCCGUUCUUAGUUGGUGGAGUGAUUUGUCUGGUUAAUUCCGGUAACGAACGAGACUCUGGCCUAUUAAAUAGUCGACGUGGGUUUUGGUGCAUGGGCCCCGUUCGACACUGUCUUCUUAGAGGGAUGAGCAGCGAGUAUAGCUGCAGGAGAUUGAGCAAUAACAGGUCUGUGAUGCCCUUAGAUGUCCUGGGCCGCACGCGCGCUACACUGAAUGGGUUAGCGGGUUUUCCUUCUCCGAGAGGAGCGGGAAAUCGCGUGAAAACCAUUCGUGAUAGGGAUUGGGGCUUGCAAUUGUUUCCCAUGAACGAGGAAUUCCCAGUAAGCGCAAGUCAUCAGCUUGCGUUGAUUAAGUCCCUGCCCUUUGUACACACCGCCCGUCGCUACUACCGAUUGAAUGAUUUAGUGAGGCCUUCGGACUGGCGGUCUUGGAACGGGUUCCGCUCGCCACCACCCCAGCGAUGGGGGGCGUCGGACUCUCCAUGACGAGCCGGAAAGAUGUCCAAACUUGAUCAUUUANAGGAAGUAAAAGUCGUAACAAGGUUUCC
rnacentral:rRNA from 1 species